CGGAUCCGCGGCGGAGGUUGAGGGACCCCCCUCCCCCGGCCACCGCCUCCGCUGAGUCUGCCCCCUCCCCAUCCGCAGGGCUCUUCCGUGGGCGGCGGCUUCGCGGGCUUGGAGUUCGCGCGGCCGCAGGAGUCGGAGCCGCGGGCCUCGGACCUGGGGGCCCCCCGGACGUGGACGGGGGCGGCGGCGGGGCCCCGGACUCCGUCGGCGCACAUCCCCGUCCCAGCGCAGAGAGCCACCCCAGGAAAAGCCCGGCUGGACGAGGUCAUGGCUGCCGCUGCCCUUACAAGCCUGUCCACCAGCCCUCUCCUUCUGGGGGCCCCGGUUGCAGCCUUCAGCCCAGAGCCUGGCCUGGAGCCCUGGAAGGAGGCCCUGGUGCGGCCCCCAGGCAGCUACAGCAGCAGCAGCAACAGUGGAGACUGGGGAUGGGACCUGGCCAGUGACCAGUCCUCUCCGUCCACCCCGUCACCCCCACUGCCCCCCGAGGCAGCCCACUUUCUGUUUGGGGAGCCCACCCUGAGAAAAAGGAAGCCCGGCCCAGGUCAUGUUCCAGUGUCUGUGGAAGAGCUGCGGGAAGGUGCUGAGCACGGCGUCGGCGAUGCAGAGACACAUCCGCCUGGUGCACCUGGGGUGCGGCGGGGCCUGGGGUGCGGCGGGGCCUGCGGGUUGGCUGGGGUUGUGAGGCCCGGCCAGGCCACCCCUUCAGCUCCCACUGGCUGGCUGUGUCUCCCGCAGGAGGCAGGCAGAGCCUGAGCAGAGUGAUGGUGAGGAGGACUUCUACUACACAGAGCUGGAUGUUGGUGUGGACACGCUGACCGACGGGCUGUCCAGCCUGACUCCAGUGUCCCCCACGGCCUCCAUGCCGCCUGCCUUCCCCCGCCUGGAGCUGCCAGAGCUGCUGGAGCCCCCAGCCCUGCCUAGUCCCCUGCGGCCGCCUGCCCCGCCCCUGCCCCCGCCCCCUGUCCUGAGCACCGUUGCUAACCCCCAGUCCUGUCACAGUGACCGUGUCUACCAGGGCUGCCUGACGCCCGCCCGCCUGGAGCCGCAGCCCACGGAGGUCGGAGCCUGCCCACCCGCCUUGUCCUCCAGGAUCGGAGUCACCCUGAGGAAGCCCCGCGGCGACGCGAAGAAGUGCCGGAAGGUGUAUGGCAUGGAGCGCCGGGACCUCUGGUGCACAGCCUGCCGCUGGAAGAAAGCCUGCCAGCGGUUCCUGGACUAAGUCCGGCUCGUUCAAGAACAUAAGCUACCACCUUCUCCCUCCCCACCCCCUCCAGGCCCGGGGCUGAAACAGCCCGAGGACAGCCCCAGGGGCUGGCUUUCACCAGCUGCAGGGUCUGCUUUUACUUGGGGUGGGGGGGCGGGGCUGACCCUGAACCCUCCCCCCCGCCAGGUCGGGGAGGGGUCCCACCACUCAAAGUGCCUCUAAAGAAACCAGCUUUUUGCACUAAAGCCAAACCACACCGCUGUCCCCUUAGCCCCAAGGGCCCUGGGGGCAGCCACCCUCCCGCCUGUCGGCCCGUAGAUUUAUCAAGGGUGUUAUGGGCCCAGCUUUGGGGGGCCAGUCCCGAUGCACUUUGAGGGGUGUUGGAGAGGGGACUCCCCCACUCGCACUUAACUCAACGGCUCUCGGGCCCUGGGGCUGUUUUUACCAUGUUUGUUUUUGAAGCUCAGGUGUCUCACGUCUGGGCUGCACCAGGCGAAGAGAGAAAUUAAAGAUUUGAGGUUUUUCCAG
rnacentral:lncRNA from 1 species